rnacentral:rRNA from 1 species
UACGUAGGGUGCAAGCGUUAAUCAGAAUUACUGGGCGUAAAGCGUGCGCAGGCGGUUAUGCAAGACAGAUGUGAAAUCCCCGGGCUCAACCUGGGAACUGCAUUUGUGACUGCAUGGCUAGAGUACGGUAGAGGGGGAUGGAAUUCCGCGUGUAGCAGUGAAAUGCGUAGAUAUGCGGAGGAACACCGAUGGCGAAGGCAAUCCCCUGGACCUGUACUGACGCUCAUGCACGAAAGCGUGGGGAGCAAACAGG